UACGGAGGGGGCAAGCGUUAAUCGGAAUUACUGGGCGUAAAGCGUGCGCAGGCGGUUGUGCAAGACCGAUGUGAAAUCCCCGGGCUUAACCUGGGAAUGGCAUUGGUGACUGCACGGCUAGAGUGUGUCAGAGGGGGGUAGAAUUCCACGUGUAGCAGUGAAAUGCGUAGAGAUGUGGAGGAAUACCGAUGGCGAAGGCAGCCCCCUGGGAUAACACUGACGCUCAUGCACGAAAGCGUGGGGAGCAAACAGG
rnacentral:rRNA from 1 species